UACAGAGGGUGCGAGCGUUAAUCGGAAUUACUGGACGUAAAGGGCGCGUAGGCGGACAGUUUAGUCAGAGGUAAAAGCCCAGGGCUCAACCUUGGAACUGCCUUUGAUACUGGCUGUCUUGAGUUCGGGAGAGGUGAGUGGAAUGCCGAGUGUAGAGGUGAAAUUCGUAGAUAUUCGGCGGAACACCAGUGGCGAAGGCGACUCACUGGCCCGAUACUGACGCUGAGGCGCGAAAGCGUGGGGAGCAAACAGG
rnacentral:rRNA from 1 species